GCACUGUUGAGGAGUCCCAUACUAGGACGAAAUGGACAUCCAGUGC
rfam:Schistosoma margrebowiei strain Zambia genome assembly, scaffold: SMRZ_scaffold0000123